rnacentral:rRNA from 1 species
CUACGUGCCAGCAGCCGCGGUAAUACGGAAGGUCCAGGCGUUAUCCGGAUUUAUUGGGUUUAAAGGGAGCGUAGGCGGAUUGUUAAGUCAGCGGUUAAAGGGUGUGGCUCAACCAUACAUUGCCGUUGAAACUGGCGAUCUUGAGUGCAGACAGGGAUGCCGGAAUUCGUGGUGUAGCGGUGAAAUGCUUAGAUAUCACGAAGAACUCCGAUCGCGAAGGCAGGUGUCCGGGCUGCAACUGACGCUGAGGCUCGAAAGUGUGGGUAUCAAACAGGAUUAGAUACCCUGGUAGUCCACACAGUAAACGAUGUAUACUCGCGGUUUGCGAUAGAUUGUAAGCCGCCAAGCGAAAGCAUUAAGUAUACCACCUGGGGAGUACGCCGGCAACGGUGAAACUCAAAGGAAUUGACGGGGGCCCGCACAAGCGGAGGAACAUGUGGUUUAAUUCGAUGAUACGCGAGGAACCUUACCCGGGCUKAACUAACGGUGACGAAUCUAGAGAUAG